CCGCCGUCGCGCCCUGCUCCCGCCCCCGCGCGGCGCUGAGCUCUGUCGGCGCCUGGCGUACUUCGAGUCCCCGCCAGGCCUCCGGGCCGGCUUCCGCGGUCGCCAUGACGGCGGCCGUGUUCUUCGGCUGCGCCUUCAUUGCCUUCGGGCCUGCGCUGGCCCUCUACAUCUUCACCAUCGCCACUGAGCCGUUGCGCGUCAUCUUCCUCAUCAUCGGAGCUUUUUUCUGGUUGGUAUCUCUGCUGUUUUCGUCCCUGUUUUGGUUCAUGGCAAGAACCAUUACUGACAACAAAGAUGGACCAAUACAGAAAUAUCUGCUGAUCUUGGGAGUGUUAGUCUCCGUCCUUGUCCAAGAAAUGUUUCGAUUUGCAUAUUAUAAACUUUUGAAAAAAGCCAAUGAGGGUUUGAGGAGUAUAAACCCAGACGAGACAGCACCCUCUAUGCGAUUGCUGGCCUAUGUUUCUGGCUUGGGUUUUGGAAUCAUGAGUGGAGUAUUUUCCUUUGUAAAUACCCUUUCUGACUCCUUGGGACCAGGCACAGUGGGCAUUCAUGGAGACUCUCCUCAGUUCUUCCUAAAUUCAGCUUUCAUGACGCUGGUUAUCAUAUUGCUGCACGUGUUCUGGGGCAUCAUAUUUUUUGAUGGCUGUGAGAAGAAAAAGUGGUCUGCCCUUCUUGUAGUUCUUCUGACCCAUCUGCUGGUGUCAGCCCUGACCUUCAUAAGUCCUCAUUAUGGAAUAAAUUUGGUGUCAACAUAUAUAAUUGUGGUACUCAUGGGCAUUUGGGCAUUCUUUGUUGCUGGCGGCAGCUGCCGAAGCCUGAAACUGUGCCUCCUCUGCCAAGACAAGGACUUCCUCCUUUUCAAUCAGCGUUCCAGAUAACCUCUGACAACCAGCACCUGCCAAACACAGUAAAUCAUUAUCCUGCGCUAUGCUAAGAACCAUAACAGAGAUGAACGGGUUGUUCCAGCCGCAUUGAAAGAGACUCUGCCCUUUGAGCACGCGGUCUGCUUCAGCACUUUUCUUACUGUGUUCAGAUUAAACGGAGAGGAACAGAAUUCCCUGCUGAAGAGAUGAAGAGACUCUUCUCUAUAGGACUCAAUCCAGAAGAACUGUGCACUUUCAAGGACCCUCCACAGGGAAUCUGCCACUUUCGGGUCACCUUGAAGUAUUUUCUCUGUUAGAGACAUUUAUGGCCCAUCUUCACCAGGCCCUUGGUGAUGAUGUGGCUUCAUAGCAGAAAAUAUAAUAAUGAGAAAUCCAUUUAAAUGCCCACACUCUCCCAGCCUACACCCUAACUCCUUCUUUAUUCCCCGUGUGUAGGUAGAAGCCUCCACAUUGCAAUUAGCCUGAAAGAAAUUGCAGUCCUGGGGUUUCAGAGAUGGGCCUGGUUUGAAAUGCAUGCCCCUCCAAGAGUGCCGUCCUAUUGGGCCAGAAUUAUAGCCCCUCCACACGUGUAACUCUACCUAUAAUUAGCCUGAGACAUUAAGCAGUUCAGCAGUUAAGAACAGAGGAGAGUGGUCAUCUCAUUAUUUACCUUGGGCUCCACUGGCUGAUCAGUAGCAUUUAUCUCCUUGUAUUUAUUGCCCUGUAAACAGUCAGAGCCACACCCCCAAGUUCUGUCCUCUGGGAGCUCUUAAGUGGAGCAUCUCAAGCACCCCCACCGUACCCCCUGCACACCUAUAGUGAAGGAACAAUGCUCCACUCCUUCCGUUUCGUCUGGGCAUUUUGGGGUAGUGCCUCAGAACGACACAACACAAUGUUGUGCCGACAUCCCAGACUAUCCUCUUUGACUCUCUCAUUGCCGUGAUGUCCCGUGAAUUAUAAUGCCAGUCUUCCCUUGGCUUGUGGCCCUGGGCCCCAAGGUUCCAAGCACAACCCAUGCCCAGGAAAAGGAAAGCUGGAGUGGGAAAGGCCUGUGCAAACAGCACGGCUUGUGAAGAAAGAUGGAGAAGUUGGGGGAAGCAAUUAGCCCAGUAGGAUUCAGCAGCGAGAUACGAUACGUCAGCGAGACAAGCCGGUGGGAUCCCGAUCUGUGCAGGCAGAAGAGCGAUGCCGACAAAAGGGGCAUGUGUGCCCCACUGUGCCACCCCGGGAGCAUUGCCUUCUGAGCGGCGCCACUCAGUAAAGACAGAGACAAACUCCGUACGUUCAGGAUUGGAAGGGGACCAGGACACCGCGGAAGAACCGCGGGGGGAUGGGAGUGGCUCUGCCUUCCCUGAGUGGGUGUGUGGAGCCCGAAGGCAGCCCUUGCUUGCGCUCUGAUCUUCGCUGCACACCAGCCAGGUGGAAGGGUGCCAGACCACCCACCGCCAGGCAGCCUCUGCCGGCCUGCCCGCUCCACUCACCUCAGCAGCAAAGUGCUUCCCACCGACAGUGUGCUCGGAGCCGUGAGGGUCAUUCUGGUUCCCCCAGUGCAGGUGCAGCUGGGCGGCACUGUAGCGGGACCGGAGGCCCUGGAUGUGCAUGUCCGAGGGCAGGUUCAGCCUCACUGUGGGGAGUGGAGCCUUCAGAGCCCUGGCCAGCUGAGCACUGCCUGAGAGCAGUUAGCGAUGCGACACUGGCCCCGGGGCCCAGACAGGAGGCAGGUGGAUGCAGUGAGUGGAGACACAGCCUGGGGCUCAGAAACCUGGGCUCUUCUCCUGAAAGUGUCCCCAUUUCCCUAAAGCAAUUCUAGUCGCACCAGCCCCUUCUAAGCUCCCCUGGGAAAAGGAUGGCAAGAGCACUAAUACUAGAUGGGUGGGUGUGUUUUUACAUAUGCACGUAUUACACACCCAGCUAUCAAGAUAGAACCUUUAGUGAAGUAUCUUCCAAGCCGUAGAAUAAUAUAACAGCAACAAUAAUAAUUGCUAUUUAUGAAGCAUCUUCUGUAUUCCAGAUCCCCAACAUACAUAAUCUCUAGUCUUUCCGCAGUACCCAUCAAUAUGCCCAUUUUCCACAUGAAAGCUCAAGGAGAUUAAUAUUCUUACCCAGAGUCUCAUGACUCAUAAGUAGUCAAGCCGGGAUUCAAAUCCAGGUUUGUCUGACUCCAAAGCCUGGGCGACCCCACAGUGAGUUGCGUGGCUCCUGGAGUGUUUGCGCCAGGGAGCCCAAGGGCUCAAGCCUGUCCCCCGCCUCCCCCCGCCCCCCCCCCCCCGCCCCUUCCCAAGAAAUGUGCUUCUUAUGCAAGGUGCUGCCCUGGAAGAACUGCCCCCGGCAUCCCCCCCAGUGAGUGGUCCAGGCAUCUCUCAUCCCUCCCCCCUCCCACCGUCCCUUCUCCUGGGGGCUGUACUUCAGUGCAGCCCCCUCCCUGCCAGGGGCAAGAGAGUGGGCCAAGGAGCUGAGGGGAGCUCAGACAUCCCCUUGCAGUCCUCAGAGGUCUCUCUCACCUGAAUGGCCAUCGUUGUUCAGGAGAAACUGCUCGUUAGCAGAAACAUUGUAGCCUUGGAACCCAAGGGGCACGAGGCUGGCGUCGUACUGGAGGAUGUCACUGUGCAGGUCUAUUGGGGACUGCAGCACGCCCCCACAUGAUGGGUACUUCUUGGACCAGCUCUUCUCCCCAUCUGGACCUGAAAGGGGAGAUUCAGGCCCUAAAGUGAGUCCAUUUCCCACAAAACUGUUUUCCUCACUUUCUAAUUCUGUGUCCAAUACAAUCACUUCUUUUCUCCUCUUAAUCCCCAGAGGUAUAUUCUUCGAGGCCCAGAAAUCUCAGCCUCCUGCCAUUUGUCCUUGAAGGGAGAUGGGGAUAGAAGGACUAGAGCAGCCCCAUGCCACGGAAUAGGGCCCACCAAGCUCCGUUUUCAUUGCUCAUAUUCUGGCACAGUACACAUCCUUUUCAUGUGAGGACCUGUUGAUAUUCAGCAAUUUAGCCUCUGUUUAUGGAGCACCUAUUACGAGCAGGAAUUACUCAGGGUCUUGGGGCCACCAGGUUGAACACAACCAUAGGGCCCCUGCUUGCCCAAGCUUGCAUCCUCUGGGAUGCUCCAGGCUGGAAAAAGUGGUGUCUUACUGACCACAGCUCCAGGAAAGUGUUCAGGGCUCGUGGAUUUAUAGAUAUGAUCUUCCUGAUAGGAAACCUUUGAGGACAUUGACUCUUGAUAGCCACAUCCAGAGCAAGUGUAAAACCCCAUCUGAUAGGGAUGCUUGAAAAAUUCCAAGUAAUUAGGGGAUCACAGAGCUAAGUGCACAGUGUACCCUGAGAGAGUGUGACAACACUACAAACUAAUGACAAACGAUCAGUGAGGAGGAAGAGACUUAAAAAUAAAUCCUCCAGGGCUCAGGCUUCUUGCUAACUACCAGGUGAUUGUCCUUCCUCUGGAAAUGGAAAUAAACAAUCCAAUCCCA